UUUGAAAUCUGACUCUCGGGUCCGACUUGUAAUCUGCAGAUGAGUCUUUUGGCGGAGCGCCGUCCAAGUUCCCUGGAACGGGACGCCGGAGAGGGUGAGAGCCCCGUACCGACGUGCGCCGAGUCUUUGCAAAGCUCAUUCGAAGAGUCGAGUAGUUUGGAAAUGCUGCUCUAAUUGUGGGGUAAAUCUCCCAUAAGGCUAAAUAUUGGCCAGAGACCGAUAGCGCACAAGUAGCGUGAGCGAAAGAUGAAAAGAGCCUUGAACAAGGGCGUCAAAAAGCAUGUGAAAUUGUUAUGGGGGAAGCGCUCAAUGCCAGACGUGGCGGCGGUUGGUUACCCGGUGUUCUUCGCCGGCGCACUCUGCCGUCUGCCAGGCCAGCAUCAGUUCGGUCCGGGGCUUACUUCCGUUCGGAAUGUGGCUCUUCGGAGUGUUAUAGCCCUGCGGCGACGCCCUGGGCCGGACUGAGGAACGCGCAUCUGCCCGGAUGCUGGCGUAAUGGCUUUUAGCGACCCGUCUUGAAACACGGACCAAGGAGUUGACCUAGUAUGCGAGUGUUUGGGUGUAAAGCCCUCACGCGUAGUGAAAGCGAACGCAGGUGGGAGCUUCGGCGCACCAUCGACCGAUCCUGAAGUUUACGGACGGAUUUGAGUAGGAGCAUGCUGGGUCUGACCCGAAAGAAGGUGAACUAUGCAUGAAUAGGGUGAAGCCAGAGGAAACUCUGGUGGAGGCUCGCAGCGGUUCUGACGUGCAAAUCGAUCGUCAAAUUUGUGCAUGGGGGCGAAAGACCAAUCGAACCUUCUAGUAGCUGGUUCCUGCCGAAGUUCCCUCAGGAUAGCAGAGUUGAUCCUC
rnacentral:rRNA from 1 species